GUGUCAGCCGCCGCGGUAAUACGUAGGGUGCGAGCGUUGUCCGGAAUUAUUGGGCGUAAAGAGCUCGUAGGCGGUUUGUCGCGUCUAUCGUGAAAACUGGAGGCUUAACUUUCAGCGUGCGGUGGAUACGGGCAGACUUGAGUUCGGUAGGGGAGACUGGAAUUCCUGGUGUAGCGGUGAAAUGCGCAGAUAUCAGGAGGAACACCGGUGGCGAAGGCGGGUCUCUGGGCCGAUACUGACGCUGAGGAGCGAAAGCGUGGGGAGCGAACAGGAUUAGAUACCCUCGUAGUCC
rnacentral:rRNA from 1 species